UAAUCCCCUGGUUGAUAUUUGUCUUUAUUCUCAUCACUUGUCUGCAUGAUAUUGUAUUGAUAUUGUAAGGAGAAAUUCUGUCUUGGUCACAUAUGGGAGUUAAAGGGUUAAACAAAAAAAUGUAUUUUAUCCUUUUACUAUCAGUUGAUGUUCGAAUGUUGGUUCAAUGUCAGUAUCUAAGAAACUGCCCACCUACCCCUCCCCUAAUCCAAUAUUAACCCUUACUUGCUAUCAGUUGAUGUUUUUUGGGUUGGGGAGGGGUAGGUGCACAGAUGCUGACAUUGAUCUGAAAUGUUUAUGGUGUACCUACAGAGUUUUUUUCAUUUUUCACCAUUUCUAGCUUUUCAGUUUGGGCAGUAUUAAGAGGCCUUCAAGGGAAGAAUUAAUUAUUUGUCUGCACAUCUUGAAUCAUGCACACACUUGAUAAUUUAAUUUUUAGAGAGCGGAAAACUGUUUGGAUGGACUGAAAUUUGUUAUUAUGGGAGUCUUGGAAAGUAUUGAGAGAGAGGAAGCUGCUGAUUUGAUUCAAAGAUAUGGUGGAAAAGUUACCCAAUCAGUGAGCAAGAAAACAAGUUAUGUCGUUAUGGGACGGGAUCCUGGAGAGCAUAAACUUUCUAAGGCUAAGGCAAUGUGCAACAUCACAAAUAGAUGAAGACAGUCUAUUUUAGCUUGUCAAAACAAAACCAGGCAAUAAGACCAGCCAUGAACCACCAAGUGUGGAGAAGAAGACAAAAAAGAAGGAGAAAACUGAACCAGUGGAGUCCCUCAGCCAGAGAAAAGAUCAGUUUGAAGGUGAUUUGUCACAACUGAGUGAAAGAUCUGUGUCAUCUCCAACAACACAAACAGUAUCAUCAUCACCUGCACUGAAAGCUUCCUUUUUCAACAAAGACCAAGAUGGGUCGUCGUUAAAGGCAGCUCUUCUGUCCGGUUCCCCAGGAGUUGGUAAAACCACAACAGCAACACUGGUUUGUGGAGAGCUUGGUUUUACAUACAUUAAAAUGAAUGCUAGUGACACACGGAGCAAAAGGACUUUGGAAGAACAAAUUUCUCAUUCACUGAGCAAUAAAACCAUGGAUGGCUUUCUGUUGUCAAAUUUCUGUAAGAUUUGGAAUGAAUUUUAUAUUAUAAAGAUGCUUCAUUCAUUCUCCUGUCUUACUAAGCUGAUUUUCCUCUGUAGUUAAUUUAUUAUUAUCAACUGAGUUAGUUACGUAAAUUACAGCUCUAUUGGUCAUUUUUUCCUACAAAAUUUGUGAAGUUUCCAAGCCGACAAGUCGCCCUCAUCAAUAAUAAGAAAAUUUCCUUCACUAUGCUUUCGGUAUGUGUGUUUCUCUUGUGGUGUAAAACACCUAAGUAACACAUGAGGUCUCGUUAGUUUUGGUUAUAUAAUAAGUGAAUAACCCACAUCUCUUACUCACCCGAGCGCCACGUGCGUACUGUAAGUUCAGG